UCUCAAAAGUACAAGUCGUGCUGAACACAAGUCGUGGGUCAUCUCUGCCGGCUGGCGGCGGCAGGCGAUUCUGGGCCAUCUCUGACAACCGGCGGCGGCAGGCGAUUCUAUAGCAGUUUUUGUGUUGGUUUUCCUCCUGGAGUUGAUAUGACACGAAGUAAACUACAUGUGGUUGAAUGCAAUGAUGAAUACAUGACUGAGGAAUAUGUUGAACAUGAGAAUGCCAUGUUCAAAGAUGUUGAGUCAUCUCAUGUUCAACCAUCAUCUUGUAAUGUUGAAGAAGGCUUGGAUGAUAGUGAUGAUGAAGAGGACCAGGACGACACUGCUACUAAUGAACAAGAUGAAAAUGGAGAAACAACCAAGCGUGGGAGGACAAGGCUAAAAGAAACAUGGAAUCUUCCAAAAGGGCAGAGGAUUGUGGUCCAGUGCAAUGAACUAAACCAGCCAGUUGGAAAAGAAGCUGCAUGUCUUGGGAAUUUUCUUGGCACGGUUGCUAGGAAUGGAAAAUUGUGUAGUUUGAGCUACAAGGACUGGAGAAAACUAAUAGGAGAGAGAGAAAAAAAGACAAAUGAACAAAGAAACAAAAGGGAUAUACUAGCGCAAGUAAAGAUGAGGUUUCUUUACCCUCCUCGCAUGGAAAAGAUUAUAUUAAAAAAAGUUGGAGAUAGAUGGAGGGAACAUAAGUCAGAUCUGAAAGCACUGUAUUUUGAUGCAAAUAAGAGCAUGGAAGCGAAUAACACCAAUGUUCCAAAGGGUGUGAUUAAGGACCAGUGGAUUACUCUGGUCAGUAAUUGGAUGACCCCGAAGGCACAUGUACUUAUACAGUCGCCAGAUUCGUUAUGUACAUGUUGCUCAGUCAUGGUAUGAAAUUAUGGAAAAUACAUGUGCAUACAUUAUACAAUUGUUUGACAGGGGAUAAGUGAGACGAAUAGGAGAAAUUGUGCGAUGAGGAAGUCCAAACACAUGGCUGGAACUAAGAGUUUUCCACGAGUUCGAGAAGAGAUGAGACUAAAGGAUCCAGAAAAGAAGUACCCACACAGGGCUGUCUUAUACAUGCAUACACAUAAGCACAAAAGCGACAAGAAUAUGAAUGAACAAGUGGUUGAUUUGAAGAAGCGUAUAGCGGAGAAUCCAGCUUUAGUAGAUACUAGUAGAGGAAAGACAGCAUGGAAGGGAGAUGUUUUGAAUGCGGUACUUGGCGCAGACAAGCCUGGACAUAUACAUGGCCUGGGACGGGUUCCGAAUCCAAAUCAAGUCUUUGAUGUGUCAGCUUCACGCCACUUUCAGAAUAUACACCUUAGUUCAUUGGAGGAUAUAUCAAAUGAAGAUCUUUUGGCUGUUAGACUGAAAAUGGAGAAGUUGGAGAAAAAAGUGGAAAACCAAGAUGCUGAGAUUCUGGAACUAAAAGGGAAGAAAAAAACAUUGAAGGACAGGGUUCUUUGGAUCAGAUAUCUGCAUCUCAAGAUGUUCCUUUUAUUGCCAAGACAAAUUCAAAAAUAAAAAGAGUUUAUGGCGACGGUCAUAGUCAACAACUUCGUACUAUUGGGCAGCAGAAUAAUGUGAUGAGCAAGGAAACAUUUCUCAAUGACAUGGAGGUGCAACCAUCAUACAAAUGCCCUGCUAUGGAUGAGAACAAUGAAACUUUGGUCCAUGAUGAAAAUGUGCACCAACAGAGGAAAAACACUAGUGCAGAUAAGGGUUCUUUGGGUCAGAAGUCUACAUCUCAAGAUGCUCUCUAUGUUGGCAAGACAAAUUCAAAACAAAAAAGCAAGGAAAACUUUCUCUAUGACAUGGAGAUGCAACCAUCAAACAAACGUCCUUCUAAGGAUAAGAACAAAGAUACUUCUAUCCAUGAUGAAAAUGUGCAACAAGAGAAGGAAAACUCUAGUUCAAAUAAGGUUAGUGCACUCCAUAUCUUUUAAACUUCUAAAGCUUCUUUCACAAUGCAUCUCUGCUCUCAUGCGUCAAGAUUUUUUUUUGCACAUUUCCAGCGCAUACGCAUGCUAGAAAUGAUGUGUGCCAUAAAUAACAGUUUCAGUAUUGAGUAGAAAUAUCUGAGAUAACAAUCUAAGAGAUAAAGUGCAAUUACUUUCACCAAGAUGAAAAAUCUCUUCACAUUGCUAUUUCAGCCUUUCGUUUGCAUACUCAUACAUGAAAAAACAAUCACUAAACUGUUGUGUAGAUUUGCUAAGAAAUACAUUGCUAGCAGCAGUAGUUCUUAACAUAACAGAGAGGAUAAGUGGCAUUGUAAGAUAUAGUAGCUACAAAAAGGAACUUAACAAUUAUUAUUAUACAUGUAGCCUUCUACAACAAUCUAGUGCACGACAAGACAUGCCAUCAUUUACUAAACAGUUAUGCUUGCACUAUUAAAUUGAACUCCAACUUAACAACACACCUCAAUGGGUUAGAGCAUACUCUGCGUAUACGGUACCAUUCUGAUUCCUCAUGUGUACAUCUAUAUUCAAUUUUUUUGCUUAUUCUGUUUAUUAUGCAUCUUGCCAUUAGCAUGGUGGCCAGAACAUUAGUAAAGUCUCAAGAGAAGGUAAUGCAACAAAGCAUGCCAAUGUAUGACAUACAUCUUCUAAAUCUUAUUCUUCUCUAUUUCAGUUCUGCUUCAAGUAUAUUACAUACUAAUGUUGCACAAAAUAUAUUCUACAGAAACAACAGUGCAGUGCAACAAAUUGCUUGGGUGCCGACUCAAUAGAUGUAUGGGUAUUAAGUUUAUAUUACACAUGAUUAUCUGCAUGUUUCAAAUUGCUUAUACUACAAAUGGUUUUCUCUUUUACGAACAGGUUGGCACUAUAGUAUUUUUGAAGAGCUUGGGAAAUCCAAACAAGAAUGUUGCUCUUGGUACACUCCAAAGCACUAACCCAGAAUAUAAAGUUGAGGGUGUUCAUCUUGGUAAUCAAUUCUGGGCAGUGCGAAUUGAUGCUACAUUAGCAAAAUCAGAUCAGUUGAUACGACCUCUAAAAAAGGUCAACAUUAUUGGUCAUGCAGCAGGAUUAAUUAUCGCAUGGCCAUCAACCUUUAUUGCUAAGAUAAAUUGAUGAUGCAUGGCCCAGAUGUUGAUUGCAAGGUGGAGAAUGGGGAUGCUGUUGGAUAGUCCUAUGUAGUGUUUUACGAUGUCAUUUCCAGUGUCGAUAACUCAAACAUUAUGUUUUAGAAUGGUUGGGGCGUUGAUUGAAAUGUCCAGACUUAGCUACUAUGUUAGUAUCACU